UGGGGAAUUUUGGACAAUGGGGACAACCCUGAUCCAGCAAUGCCGCGUGAGUGAAGAAGGCCUUCGGGUUGUAAAGCUCUUUUGUCAGGGAAGAAACGGUAGUAGCGAAUAACUAUUACUAAUGACGGUACCUGAAGAAUAAGCACCGGCUAACUACGUGCCAGCAGCCGCGGUAAUACGUAGGGUGCAAGCGUUAAUCGGAAUUACUGGGCGUAAAGCGUGCGCAGGCGGUUGUGUAAGUCAGAUGUGAAAUCCCCGGGCUCAACCUGGGAAUUGCAUUUGAGACUGCGCGGCUAGAGUGUGUCAGAGGGGGGUAGAAUUCCACGUGUAGCAGUGAAAUGCGUAGAUAUGUGGAGGAAUACCGAUGGCGAAGGCAGCCCCCUGGGAUAACACUGACGCUCAUGCACGAAAGCGUGGGGAGCAAACAGGAUUAGAUACCCCCGUAGUCCCUGAGCGGGCUGGGCAAGGCGCAU
rnacentral:rRNA from 1 species